rnacentral:rRNA from 2 species
ACGGGUGAGUAAUACAUCGGAACGUGCCCAGUAGUGGGGGAUAGCCCGGCGAAAGCCGGAUUAAUACCGCAUACGACCUACGGGUGAAAGCGGGGGAUCGCAAGACCUCGCGCUAUUGGAGCGGCCGAUGUCAGAUUAGCUAGUUGGUGGGGUAAAAGCCUACCAAGGCGACGAUCUGUAGCUGGUCUGAGAGGACGACCAGCCACACUGGGACUGAGACACGGCCCAGACUCCUACGGGAGGCAGCAGUGGGGAAUUUUGGACAAUGGGCGCAAGCCUGAUCCAGCCAUGCCGCGUGUGGGAAGAAGGCCUUCGGGUUGUAAACCACUUUUGUCAGGGAAGAAACGGUCUGAUCUAAUAAAUUGGACUAAUGACGGUACCUGAAGAAUAAGCACCGGCUAACUACGUGCCAGCAGCCGCGGUAAUACGUAGGGUGCAAGCGUUAAUCGGAAUUACUGGGCGUAAAGCGUGCGCAGGCGGCUAUGCAAGACAGAUGUGAAAUCCCCGGGCUCAACCUGGGAACUGCAUUUGUGACUGCAUGGCUAGAGUACGGUAGAGGGGGAUGGAAUUCCGCGUGUAGCA